CUCUGUGACUCCUACGGGAGGCAGCAGUGGGGAAUAUUGCACAAUGGGCGCAAGCCUGAUGCAGCCAUGCCGCGUGUGUGAAGAAGGCCUUCGGGUUGUAAAGCACUUUCAGUUGUGAGGAAGGUGGUGUCGUUAAUAGCGGCAUCAUUUGACGUUAGCAACAGAAGAAGCACCGGCUAACUCCGUGCCAGCAGCCGCGGUAAUACGGAGGGUGCGAGCGUUAAUCGGAAUUACUGGGCGUAAAGCGCAUGCAGGUGGUUUGUUAAGUCAGAUGUGAAAGCCCGGGGCUCAACCUCGGAAUUGCAUUUGAAACUGGCAGACUAGAGUACUGUAGAGGGGGUAGAAUUUCAGGUGUAGCGGUGAAAUGCGUAGAGAUCUGAAGGAAUACCGGUGGCGAAGGCGGCCCCCUGGACAGAUACUGACACUCAGAUGCGAAAGCGUGGGGAGCAAACAGGAUUAGAUACCUGGUAG
rnacentral:rRNA from 1 species